GUAGUUCAUCAACUGGGAACCACUUUCCUGUGAGACCCCAACAUUUUGACCAUUCUUAUCUUCCUGGAACCCCCAUAGAUGAGGUUGCUGCCCUAUUAUUCUGGAAGUGUCCUGAAUCCUAAGCCUUAGGAUCUUGAAGGCAUGACUACAACUACUCUCUCUGCCAAGGUUCUCUUCUCAUUUUUCACUAAAGCCCAUUAGGCCAGGUCUAAUGAAGUUCAGUUUUAAAGGUCAACCAACUAUUGCACAUUUAACAUCUCUCAAGUGUGAGGUAAGAUUGUAAAAUUACCUCCACUUGACGUGGAUAAUUUAUCUGUGUUUUCAUUUGUCUUUUUUUUUUUUAACCACCCCUCCUUCAUAGGAUUGGAAAAAUUGGACUUUCCAGGCAGUCUCUUUUUUUCUACUCUUAAAUGUAGGUAUUUCUCUAUCCUCUUUGUUUUACAUUACAUUUACCCCAAGACGACUCAAAUUUUUAUCUCUACUGCAGAACUUUUUCCUAAUUUCCAGUCCCAUAUAUCUUUUUGCUCUUGGAAACUCACUUUGGAAGUUCCAUUAGCAUAUUACAUUUGCUAUGUCCAAAACUGAACAAAUUAUCUCCUUAAUUCCUACCCUGAAUCUAUCCUUCCUGUGUUUCUUGCCUUUGUUAAUGUUAUCACUUUACUCAUUUGUAUUAGUUUGUUCUCAUGCUGCUAGUAAAGACUUACCAGAGACUGGAUAAUUUAUAAAGAAAAAGAGGUUUAAUGGACUCACAAUUUAACAUGGCUGGGGAGACCUCACAAUAAUGGCAGAAGGUGAAAGAAGAGCAAAGGCACGUCUUACAUGAUGGCAGGCAAGAGAACAUGUGCAGGGGAACUCCCAUUUAUAAAACCAUCAGGUCUCGUGAGACUUAUCCAUGACCAUGAAAAACAGUAUGGGGGAAACCACCCCCAUGAUUCAUUAUCUCCAUCUGCCCCUGCCCUUGACACAUGGGGAUUAUUACAAUUUAAGGUGAGAGUUGGGUGGGGACACAGCCUGCCACUGCACUCCAGCCUGGGCGGCAGAGUGACACUCCAUUUCAAAAUGAAUGAAUGAAUGAAUGAAUGAGUGAAUGUAAUCCACCCUAUCAUUAAACUUCGUCCUAGUACUGCUGCUUUUCUUUUUUUUUUUUUUUUUCAAGCUCUAGUUUCACUACUUACUGGAGAUGUUACUUUGGCAAAGCCUUUGAGAAUGUAAAACAGGGAAGACACUUCAUAGAGUGGCUGCAAGGUGGCUGGACAUGGAGUGCAUGCUUAACAUGUUUCUUUUCUCUCCUUCCCUGUUUUAAGAGAUGAAAUACGCAUGCUGUAAAGACUCAUACUUUUUGCUAAAACGCCUGGGUUCAAGACAUCGAAGUUGGCAUAAGAAAAUAUUUUCUUUAGUUGAA
rnacentral:lncRNA from 1 species